GGAAUAUUGGACAAUGGGCGAAAGCCUGAUCAAGCCAUGCCGCGUGUGUGAAGAAGGUCUUCGGAUUGUAAAGCACUUUAAGUUGGGAGGAAGGGUAGUAACUUAAUACGUUGCUAUAUUGACGUUACCGACAGAAUAAGCACCGGCUAACUUCGUGACAGCAGCCGCGGUAAUAAGAAGGGUGCAAGCGUUAAUGGGAAUUACUGGGGGUAAAUCGCGCGUAGGUGGUUCAGUAAGUUGGAUGUGAAAUCCCCGGGCUCAACCUGGGAACUGCAUCCAAAACUGCUGAACUAGAGUACGGUAGAGGGUGGUGGAAUUUCCUGUGUAGCGGUGAAAUGCGUAGAUAUAGGAAGGAACACCAGUGGCGAAGGCGACCACCUGGACUGAUACUGACACUGAGGUGCGAAAGCGUGGGGAGCAAA
rnacentral:rRNA from 1 species